rnacentral:tRNA from 1 species
GCCGGUAUAGCUCAACGGUAGAGCAACGCACUUGUAAUGCGUAGGUUGCGGGUUCGAUUCCUGCUACCGGCU